UCUUGAAUCCUUGUCUUAUAUACAGUCUCUAACAAUUUGUUGAGACUACCAUAAAAUAAUAUUAGGAGCUUGGUCUUUCUUGACAGAAAGUGGAUUACCCCUCUUCUUCGAAGUAUUAUAGCAUUCUAAAGGUUGCGGAUUAUCCUCCCCUAGACUAUUAUUAUUAUUAUUAUUAUUAUUAUUAUUAUUAUUAUUUAACAUUCUUUUGGUUUCUUUUUUUUAUACCUUAGAUUAGAUUUUUUUCUUUUGAAGGC
rnacentral:lncRNA from 1 species